ACGGUCAAGUCAUCAUGGCCCUUAUCGUCCAGGGCGGACACACGUGCUACAAUGGCCGGCACAGCGGGAAGCGGACGGGCGACCGUGAGCGGACUCCUUAGAAAGCCGGUCCCAGGUUCGGAUUGCAGUCUGCAACUCGACUGCAUGAAGUUGGAAUCGCUAGUAAUCGCGGAUCAGCCAAGCCGCGGUGAAUACGUUCCCGGGCCGUU
rnacentral:rRNA from 1 species